GGGUGACUAGUCUAGUGGUCAGGACGUUUCGUUGUGGUUCUUCCACAUGCAAAACCGAAGAAACCCCGGUUCGAUUCCGGGGUCGCCCA
rfam:Chaetomium globosum CBS 148.51 scaffold_5 genomic scaffold, whole genome shotgun sequence.